GACGAACGCUGGCGGCGUGCUUAACACAUGCAAGUCGAACGCUGAAGCACCAGCUUGCUGGUGUGGAUGAGUGGCGAACGGGUGAGUAAUACGUGAGUAACCUGCCCUUGACUCUGGGAUAAGCCCGGGAAACUGGGUCUAAUACUGGAUGCUACAUGUCACCGCAUGGUGGUGUGUGGAAAGGGUUUACUGGUCUUGGAUGGGCUCACGGCCUAUCAGCUUGUUGGUGAGGUAAUGGCUCACCAAGGCGACGACGGGUAGCCGGCCUGAGAGGGUGACCGGCCACACUGGGACUGAGACACGGCCCAGACUCCUACGGGAGGCAGCAGUGGGGAAUAUUGCACAAUGGGCGAAAGCCUGAUGCAGCGACGCCGCGUGAGGGAGGACGGCCUUCGGGUUGGAAACCUCUUUCAGCAGGGAAGAAGCCACAAGUGACGGUACCUGCAGAAGAAGCGCCGGCCAACUACGUG
rnacentral:rRNA from 1 species